rnacentral:rRNA from 1 species
GACGAACGCUGUCGGCGUGCUUAACACAUGCAAGUCGAACGGAAAGGCCCUGCUUUUGUGGGGUGCUCGAGUGGCGAACGGGUGAGUAACACGUGAGUAACCUGCCCUUGACUUUGGGAUAACUUCAGGAAACUGGGGCUAAUACCGGAUAGGAGCUCCUGCUGCAUGGUGGGGGUUGGAAAGUUUCGGCGGUUGGGGAUGGACUCGCGGCUUAUCAGCUUGUUGGUGGGGUAGUGGCUUACCAAGGCUUUGACGGGUAGCCGGCCUGAGAGGGUGACCGGCCACAUUGGGACUGAGAUACGGCCCAGACUCCUACGGGAGGCAGCAGUGGGGAAUAUUGCACAAUGGGCGGAAGCCUGAUGCAGCAACGCCGCGUGCGAGAUGACGGCCUUCGGGUUGUAAACCGCUUUCGCCUGUGACGAAGCGUGAGUGACGGUAAUGGGUAAAGAAGCACCGGCUAACUACGUGCCAGCAGCCGCGGUGAUACGUAGGGUGCGAGCGUUGUCCGGAUUUAUUGGGCGUAAAGGGCUCGUAGGUGGUUGAUCGCGUCGGAAGUGUAAUCUUGGGGCUUAACCCUGAGCGUGCUUUCGAUACGGGUUGACUUGAGGAAGGUAGGGGAGAAUGGAAUUCCUGGUGGAGCGGUGGAAUGCGCAGAUAUCAGGAGGAACACCAGUGGCGAAGGCGGUUCUCUGGGCCUUUCCUGACGCUGAGGAGCGAAAGCGUGGGGAGCGAACAGGCUUAGAUACCCUGGUAGUCCACGCUGUAAACGGUGGGUACUAGGUGUGGGGUCCAUUCCACGGGUUCCGUGCCGUAGCUAACGCUUUAAGUACCCCGCCUGGGGAGUACGGCCGCAAGGCUAAAACUCAAAGGAAUUGACGGGGCCCCGCACAAGCGGCGGAGCAUGCGGAUUAAUUCGAUGCAACGCGUAGAACCUUACCUGGGUUUGACAUGGAUCGGGAGUGCUCAGAGAUGGGUGUGCCUCUUUUGGGGUCGGUUCACAGGUGGUGCAUGCCUGUCGUCAGCUCGUGUCGUGAGAUGUUGAGUUAAGUCCCGCAACGAGCGCAACCCUUGUUCACUGUUGCCAGCACGUUAUGGUGGGGACUCAGUGGAGACCGCCGGGGUCAACUCGGAGGAAGGUGGGGAUGACGUCAAGUCAUCAUGCCCCUUAUGUCCAGGGCUUCACGCAUGCUACAAUGGCUGGUACAGAGAGUGGCGAGCCUGCGAGGGUGAGCGAAUCUCGGAAAGCCGGUCUCAGUUCGGAUUGGGGUCUGCAACUCGACCUCAUGAAGUCGGAGUCGCUAGUAAUCGCAGAUCAGCAACGCUGCGGUGAAUACGUUCCCGGGGCU